rnacentral:lncRNA from 1 species
GUGAGUGCAUCGUCUUUUAUAUGGUAAAUAAAAAUUGUUGUAAAAUGUCCAACCUUUAUUAAACAGCCCUCAUCCCAUUCAUCAACAUGCUUUCAUAAAGGUUCGGACAUGUUAAAAAAAAAAAAAAUAAAAAUAAAUAUAAAAAACUAACGUCACCAGCUAAAGUGAAAACAUUCUAUAACUACGUCAUAAGUCAUUUAAAUAUCGUCACUCCCAACAGACGGUUUAUUACCAUGCCGCACAGAGGAAUAAGUAUUUUAUUUUAUAUUUCGUUUUAAUUGUUAACAUAUGUAUAUAUUUUACAUUUUUUUAUUUACUAAUAAUGUUUUGGACAAUUAAGGGGAAAUAAGAGAAAAAAACCCACCUCGCAGAAGACACAGGCAGCAGAACAGGAUUUUGAAAGACUGAUUGAGCCGAGAGGUAAAAGGAUAAAGAAUAGUGGGGACGUCUACGUAAGAAGGGCGCGGUGUCUUAACAGUCGAACCGAUUGGGAAACGCGAAGCUUGUUGUUUUCCCCUUGAGAUCGAUAAUGGAAUAUAAAUUUCAAUUUGACAUAGGUGCAUACGUGUAUUGACGGUCAAUGACAAAGAAUAAAUGAGUCAAGCGGUCCGGCAAGAGUCAGUAAUACACGAUAGAUGACAGUAGAAGUGCAUAGAAUGUUUUACUAACACUCAUGAGCAGCAACGUCAACAACACUUAAUCUCAGAAAUUAAACCAUAGUUAAAAAAUGCUGAAGAGAAGUGGGAAGUUAUGAGGAUUCCGGCGCACUGCGGGAUCUUAGGUAAUACGAAGGUGGACCUGCUUGCGAAGGAGGCUGCACAAGAUUUGUAGUGUAGCGAAAAAACGGAAUGUGGAGGGAUGACAACGUUGGAAGUCGUGUUAAUUAAAAAAACGUGCAGGAUAGUUAGUAAGUUAAAAUCUUACCCAGGAAUAUGUAAAGCAUAUCUAAAGAAAAUGAAUUUGGAGGAGAACAACUGGUGUGAAUGUCGCGAGGAGGAAACUUUGGAGCACAUCGUAAUGACGUGUCCAAACUCCAUAGUAUACUUAGGAGCGGGAAGAAAUGUUUCAGGAAGUAAAGUAAAAAUUUAACAUUAAGCCAGUAGAAUACGUCUCAAUAAAGUCUCUCUAAGUCUCAAUCAGUGAAGGUGUACGGCACAAUAGUAAACUUUUUAUAAAAAAUAAAUAAAAGGAUAUAAAAAUUAGACAAAAUAAAAAACUAAAGAAUUCGAUAAAUAUUACGUGCUUAAAAAUGUGUACUUUUCAAUAAUCAGAUCUAUUUUAGAGUUUAACUCUAAUUAUAUUAGUAAGCUUGAACAAGUUCAAAAAUAGUUUAUUAAGAUUUUUAGCAUUUAAUUCACACUUAAAUUUAGCCAAUAUAACCAUUGAUGAACCUACGAAGCUAUGACGACAAUUGAUUCUCUUAAAAUGAGAAAAGUCAUAUUACUGUUAUUAUAUAGUUAUAUGAAUUGUUAACCUAUGUUAUAGAGAGUCCAGAGCUAUUGGAACGAAUUUAUUUAAAUGUAUCGAUGAAAUUUAUGAGAUACCAUCAUUUAUUAUUUUACAAUCCAUUCUGUGAAAGAAAUGAUUUAUUUUCACCACCUCCUAAAGAGCUUGUAGACUGUAAAUUCCCUAGAGGUAGAUGAAUUCCAGAACUGAUUAUUCAGAUUUAAAAAUAUUGGUGAAUCU